AAGGGCUCAGGCUGUGGCUGUCCAUUAUGAAGACAGAGCAGAGGAUGUGUUUUCAGAAAACUGCUGUUUUUCAUAACCCUGCCUCUGUUAAGUCUCUAAUAAUACCGAGAACCUCAGGAUGAAUUUCAUCUAGAACAGAGGGAUGGAGUCCAAAAGGAAAUCUUCAAGCCAAACUAAAUGAACAGAAGGCAAUAGAAUUUAUAUGACAAAAGAGAACAUUUAUGAUGUG
rnacentral:lncRNA from 1 species